UGCAAGUCGAGGGGUAACAUUGUAGCUUGCUACAGAUGACGACCGGCGCACGGGUGCGUAACGCGUAUACAAUCUACCUUUUGCUGAGGGAUAGCCCAGAGAAAUUUGGAUUAAGACCUCAUGGUAUUACACGAUCGCAUGAUUGAGUAAUUAAAGGUUACGGCAAGAGAUGAGUAUGCGUCCUAUUAGCUAGAUGGUAAGGUAACGGCUUACCAUGGCUACGAUAGGUAGGGGCCCUGAGAGGGGGAUCCCCCACACUGGUACUGAGACACGGACCAGACUCCUACGGGAGGCAGCAGUGAGGAAUAUUGGGCAAUGGAGGCAACUCUGACCCAGCCAUGCCGCGUGCAGGAAGACUGCCCUAUGGGUUGUAAACUGCUUUUAUACAGGAAGAAACACUCCCUCGGGUAGGGAGCUUGACGGUACUGUAAGAAUAAGGAUCGGCUAACUCCGUGCCAGCAGCCGCGGUAAUACGGAGGAUCCAAGCGUUAUCCGGAAUCAUUGGGUUUAAAGGGUCCGUAGGUGGAUAAUUAAGUCAGAGGUGAAAUCCUGCAGCUCAACUGUAGAAUUGCCUUUGAAACUGGUUAUCUUGAGUCAUUAUGAAGUGGUUAGAAUGUGUAGUGUAGCGGUGAAAUGCAUAGAUAUUACAC
rnacentral:rRNA from 1 species